GCAAGUCUUUGCGCAUGAGACAAGGAAAAGAGAAAAAGAACUGCAGUGUGCUUGCCACAUUCCAAAUUGUUGGUUACGGACUUUUCAUGUUGUACCUAUUCAGAACUGGUGGCCUUGCCUGAGUGUCAGCAUUUGCUUUAUGGCUUCGUCUCAAAGCUGGAGAAAGUCAUCCUCCUUUCCUCUCCAGUUUCUGCUCCUGACCUCCAUCACCGAAGGCCAGCCCUGCACCCAGCACACUCCGCUUCCAGCCACUGUGGAAUUUCUCACCCUGGCACCACAUGCCCAGCUGUGCUCAUGGAAGUGGAAAAUCUGACAGCAUUGUCUGAAAGACACAGCUUGGGAUAAUUGUUCCUCGUAGUUCCUCUGUCAGUGAACAUUAUCAUAUUCCUCUCACAGGAAGGCUACUAAACCUUUCAUAUUCCUCAGCUCCCAGCCACAGAACUCCUCUUUGCCUUUAAAGUAGUAGUUAUAUAUGCUGGGAAGUGAGAAAAGGUUUUAAAAUUUUGUGCAGAUUAGAGAUAAAACGCCCAUAAUAGUAUUUGCUUUAAUAAUUUCCUUGUAUGGCAUAAACAAGGGAAAAGGAAGAAAAGGAAGCAAAAAGUACCUACAUUUAUGUAACAUAGGAUGGAUGUCCUUCAUGCCUGUAACAUUCUUAUUUUAGAAAUAGAAUAUAUAGAUUUCCCUUGUUUUAAUGCAGGACAGAAAACCUCCAAUACUUUCACUGUGUAAAUUUUGAAAGAAAUGCAGAAGGAAAAGCUAUGAGCAGCUUGCAGCCAGGUACACAAGUGGCACAGAUCCUUACAAAAGGAAGCAUUUCCCAGCACAGAUCCCUGCUUUGUACCUUCAGUUUGAUUAAUCCCAUUCAUCUUAUCAAACCUUGGUAUCUCUAUCAACCUCUUGGAAGGCCACUGUCACCAUUAUGUCACAGCUUCACUUGAGCUACAAUGCCUCUUCGCCCAGCCUCCCUGGGAGGCAGAAAGAGCUGUUAUGCCCAAACUGGCUUCCCCAGGGUAAGCCGGGAGAGCUGUGGCAAAGCAAGGGUAAGAGCCCAGGGCUUACGUGUUUCAGGUUGGUAUCUGACAACGUAACCCUCCAGUUUCUCUCUCAAACUGCAUUCUGCAAGUUGAUAUUCAUUUUCUUUAAAAGGACACAGAACUGAAAAAAAAGAUCUCAAUGAAAAUCCUACUCACUCCUGUAAGACGAACGCUGCACUUUCUAACAUCCCCUCAUGAUUUUCGUCCCCUUCUUCCUCUUCCCUCUACUCUAACCAGUAAUGUUGCAAAAAAAAAAGGUGAUGGCCUUCCUUUAGAAAGCUAGCCAACACAUAAACGUUAAUAUCACUGGAGACUGUCAAACCCAAAGUCAUGGCUGGAAGGAUAUUCUCCCUGCUGCUUCUUUCAAUUUCUUUUGCUACAGGUAAGGGUGCAGUUGUUAUUCAGAGGAGAAUAAACAACAUUCCUACAUUACCCUGAGAACUUGAAUGACAGUUUCUCUGAGCAAUUUUCCACCCUCAUAUUUGUGCACACUGCUGUAAUGGCAAGCCUCGUGCUGAUCUCAUCUUAACACUUUUAGGUGAAAGCUUAUGUUAAUAGAGCAAAUUAAGCUAGGGAUUUUCAUGCCACCUUGGGCUGGUUUCAGGCCAGGCUUGAUUUCCCAUUUUCAGAUGAAAUGGAGAUUAGUCAAAAUCAGAGUCCACUAAUCAAAGCCACCGCAGUAUUAAACAGGAACCUCUAAGUACCUUUGGUGAUCCAAAAAAAAUAUAAAUAGCCGAUGCCCAGGUGCAGAGAGCAACGCUGCUGGUAACAUAAGUGAUAUUAUUUCUUUUGAUGAAGUGAAGCAAUAUCCACAGUCUUCAUCUCUUUCAGUAGCACAAAGAAGUAUUCCCUCCACUCGUCUCUACAUAGAAGUAGGGCAUAGCCUAGCUAUUCACAUACCAGUACGUUUCUUCCAAGAAUUAGUCAUGAUGUGAGGUGAUUAAGAGAUACCUUAAAGACUGCAACAGUGCACUGAAAACGUAGGCACACAAAAUCCCUAGACAUUUUAUGAAAUUCAGGCCAAUAUAUAUAUAAAAUUUAUGCAUGCAUAAUGCAUGUAUCUAGUGCAAUGGAUGUCUUUUUCUAUAUAUUUUGUAUGUUAUGAAUUUAAAGAAAUAAAAAAACAUGAAGUAAAUACAAAUACAUGCACACACAGAGAAAAUUAUGUGGGCCUUUCUAGCAUGAAAAGGAAAUUAUUAAAAGUUGGAUAAACAACAACUGAGGAUAUGACAGGGGCAGCUGGAGAACCACACUGGGGGACAGAACUUCUAAGUGAAUCCACACAAAAAAAUGCCUCCCCUGACAAUCCGUUGUUCUUCAAAGAGAAUAAUGAUUCUAGAGAUGAGUUUGCAUUUGUCUUUGGAUGUCACAAUAAAUGCUAAGAAAGCAACUGAAUGAGAGUUAUUAUUUCCUCUGAGCAAAGAAGGAUUUGGGUAGGCUGUCAGAACAGCAGCACCAGCGAUCCGAGGGCAGAUACAAAGCAACGGUAAGUUGGUAGGAAUCUGUCCAGGGCCCUGGGAAAGGAAGAUGAAAGAGGCCUAUAGGGCUAGUUGGAGAUCUAAUAAAGGUAGCUGUAAGAACCGCAACUGCAAGGCAGCUGUUAAAUCAUGAGGGAGAGGGACGUAGGAGCAUUGUUUGAGAAAGAGAUCACAGGAGGCAUAAUUCCUCUGAUUUGGUGACCGCCAGAACACAAACCUCUGGGAGUCAGUGGAGAACGUGUUCUACUGAGAUCCAGGCCAUUUGCUGGAAUAAUUCAGCUGGUCUAGGGGUACUGGAGACUGUAUCCACGUCCCUACCUCAUCCACACACUUGCCACCCUGGGAGAGUGAGCGCAGCAUGAAGCACUGGUAACCCCUUUGUGUUCAAGAGUCUUAGCAGUGAUAUUAUGGGCUAUCUAAUCCUCUCUCUCUAAAUGAGUGUGCUGGGCAGAACAUAAAUCCAGCCCUACCUCUGAGAAACAAGAUGCUUUUCCAACUGGCCUGAUUGAGUACUUGGCCUGAUGAUGACUUUCACAGUCAGAUGUGCAAUCUGCCCUCUGGCUCCUUGUUGGUUUGGACUCAUUGCCUAAUCUCUAAUACCCGACUGCAAGAGAUAGAGAUUCCUGUUUGACUUUAUAAGACAAUAUGUCACAGACGAUAGGUAAGCUGUGUCUUUGCACCUGAUGUUUCCACAACAGAUCCUUUCCACAGUGCACUCUUCCUUGCAGUAUGGAAAAUGACAACUGUAAAGGACACAAGAAGUAACCUUUAAAACUGCUGUACAGAAGCAGAAAAAAAAAUCAGAAAUUGACCCAAGAAAACAGGGUGCAUGCUAUCCCACUUGGAUUGGCUGCUUUGGGGUGUUAACAUCGCAAUUCAGUGGUACUGUUUCAUUAUUUGCUAACCUCUAUAGCAAAUCUGAAUGUCUUUGUUUAAGAAGAACGGUCUAAAAUGGAUUAUGGGCUGCAUUAUGAAAGCAUAAAAACAUUUAUAAAAUCCACACCCCUGCCCUCCACGCCCAUGCUGUUCUAUCAAAAUAUACAGAAGAAAAUAUUUACAAGGUAUAAUCUUCUCAGUUAGGCUUAAUUUCCUGUAUAUAUUUUAAAUGCAAUUUCUCAAGAGCAUACACAUAAGGAAAUCCAAGAAGUGGGAGGGGUCCACACAGACCUUUGCUCCAAAGUUUAGAUGAGAGCCAUAUUAUUUUCUUAUGCACCAGUUUUGGUCUUUCAGUUUGCCCCAUGACAACAGGAAGAAGAUAGGAAAUGAAGUUCAGACUAAAGCUGAAUGAAGGAAAACCCCAGUAGAGCGCAGCUUUUUCUGUAUACGAAGUUGCUAACAAUUAAGGGGAAUUCUGAAUCACAGUUUAAUUUGGCAUUUUCAGAGCUAGGAUUACUUCAUUUCAAAGACUGAGCUAAGUCUGCAAAUUUCAAAGUAUCUAGCACGCUAUAAAAAACAAGAAAAUGGAGCAAUCACCAGAAGAAAGAGUCAAGUGCUUAAACUAGGACAAAGUAAUAACUGACACGGAACUGGGACUUUCCCCAUUUUCACUCUCACAAUCCUGUGGUAAACCAUUUCACUUUGUCUUUGGUUUAAUUUAGGAAAAAAAAUAUUGAAAACUCUCAUGCUUGGAAUGAGUAUAUAUUAAUCUUUUGUUCUGAGUAAUAAGGUGCAAAGAAAUGUAGUCCUGGCAGGAUACUAAUUUCUGAUGUUGUCAAUUAAAAAACUUCUGCUGGUGUUUUGAAUGGAAAAAUCUCUCAGAAAGUGUUUUUAUCGAAGCACCCAGUUCCAAGUCCUGGAUUAUUAGGUUAAGCUCCAUCAGCAGAGAGACCAAUAUAAAUGCUUUUCAUACCAUCU